rnacentral:tRNA from 1 species
GCCUUCGCGGUGUAGUGAUCAGCACACUGGGCACAUAUUUCAGAGGUCCGUGGUUCGAAUCCUGGCGAAGGCG